UCUUUCGUUUUUACAGUGGAGAAAGGCUGGUGGGAGGCCCAGCCGUGGUCGCCCACCUCACGGGUACGGCCCAUCUAACCCGUUACUGGGAGGGUCGGCAAGUCGGACUGCUGUUGCAGUCCGACUACCGGGACGCCGUAGAGCGUAUUAGGACCCUAUGAUGAUGUAUGAAGGUCUGGGGCUGCCGUCUUCAGGAUGUGCCAUUUGUUUCAAAAUUAUUUACUCAUCCAAGUCAAUUUAAAUAAAAGUGUAUUAUAG